UCAGCCCUCAAUUCCACUUUUGCCUCCAGUUCUCAGGGAUUAGACAACCCAAGCAGACAGGCUACAGGAAAUAGCAGAUUGGGAGAGGAGUGGGAACAGGAGAAGCUGUCUUUGGCUCGGCUGGAAGGUGAAGGGAUUCCAGAUGCCGGUUCCUGGCUUGCUCCCCGCUCUCCAUUUGGCUUCAUCCUGGGGCUCUCUUCCUCCCCACAGAGGGGUGGUGGGCACUCUGUGCCACACCUCUCCUCUCUGGGAUCUCAGGUCUGUCCCUGAAACCUGCUGGUAGAAGAACCUCUAGAGUCCUUGCCUCCUUCCCACCGUGUGACCAUUGCCCAUUGGCACAUCUGUCAAGACACAGAUUUUUGGAAGAAAAAAGAAAGAGUGAAUGCUGCAGAGAUGGAUUGUUAAUUUUCCAAAUGAGAUAUGACUCUGAGAUCCCACCUACCCAGCUGGUAGGACGUUCCACCAUGCUCCCUAAGGUGGUUUGAGUGUUUGGAAUGACAAAGACUCUCUCAUCACCCUGAAACCUUAGUCCGGCGGCGCCUCUGAGUCUUCUGCUUGACGAGGCCUGACCUUGGGCUUCCCCAUGUCCUUUCAGAAUCCAGUUUGAGCAAGAAUCCUGCUAAGUCAGGCAUCUGUAGGCUUUGUUAAUCUAGGAGUCUGACCACCCACGUCCUCAGCUGGUCCUGUCCCUCCACAGCCCUCUUCUCCCAGCCCUUCAAUCAUCUCUCCGGACUAUAAGCUUAUUAAGAGCACGGGAGUAGUCAGCACAUCAAGUGUUUGGCACCGGGGUGAGGUGACUGACUACAGCUCUGGGAAGCUCCGCAGAACAAACACCAGAAUGAACGGUGUCUUCAUUCUCCAGUGAGAGGACUUUGCAUCCUGACUUUGUGUACUCUUUCAGGAGCAGACCACCAGAGACAGUCACACAAGGGGAGGGGAGAUGGCAUUGUGGGAGUGGCCCACUCCGUGAGCACAUGAAAUUUUAGAUCUCCACUUCCGUUUGGUAGCAUGUAAAACAGCAGACUCUUGGAAAGUCAUCUUUGGAGGGAACCCAAGAGGUCAUCAUAUCCAGAACUUCAUUUUACAAACAUGUAAACUGAGGCCAGAAAGAGAAAAUGACAGGAGCAAAUAGGUGAUGCUAAUAGGUGAUGGUGUUGGAUUCAAACCCAGGUGUUUUAUCCUGAUGCAAUAAGAAAUACGGAUUUGGUCUCUGUCCCUGGUUCCUGGCAUACAGCUCCUAAAACCCUUGUAAUCUCUGACAAAAGAAUGUCUUUUGGAUGCUAAGAGGAAACUGGUGGCUGGGAGCCCCUAGAUGGCUUCAGAAUGGGGGCUGGUCACCAGAAAGACCAUGGUAUGAUUAGAACCUCUUGAGAGGAGAGAGGGGCUGAAGGUUGCGUUGAUACCUUAUGGCCGAUGAUGUAAUCAAUCAGGCCUAUGUCAUAAAGCUUCCAUAAAAACCAAAGAAAACUUGGUUCAGGAGGCUCCAGACAGCUGAACCUGUGGAGGCGCCUGGAGGGUGGAUCUUCCGGAAAGCACAUGGCAGCUCCGCGCCCCUUCCCACAUGACUUGCCCUGUGCAUCUCUUCCAUCUGGCUGCUCAUCUGUAUCCUUUAUCAUAUCCUUUAAAAGAAACCGGUAAAUGUAAAGUAAGUGUUCUGUGAGCUGCUCUAGCAAAUUAAUUGAAACCAAGGAGGGGGUCUUGGGAACCCCAACUUAUAGUUGGUUGGUCAAAAGCACAGGUCACAACCUUAGUCGUGUGAUUGGCACCUGAACUGGGGGCAAUCUUGUGGGACUGAGCCAUCAGCUGUGGGAUCUGACUCUCACUGCAAGUAGAUGGUGCCAGAAUGGAACUGAAUUAUAGGACACCCAGUUGGUGUCUGCUGGAGAAUUUCUUGGUGUGUAGGGAAAAGCCCCCAUGCAUCUGGUCACAGAAGUAUGCUAUAGUGAAAGACAGUUUGUUUUCCCUUCAGACUGCAUCUCUUUAUAGUUUGUUCUUUGCUAAGAAGAGCUAGAAUUUAGUCUCUUAGCUUCAGACACAAUGUGAAAUUCAUGGAACCAUUACUUAAACAAAAAGUAACCUCUAUGUAUAUAUGUGUAUAUGUGUGUGUGUGUGUGUGUGUGUAUGUGUAUACAUAUAUAUAUAUUUUCCCAGAAAUAUGCUGAACACUAUGGAAGUAUGCUGAACACUAU
rnacentral:lncRNA from 1 species